CCUACGGGAGGCAGCAGUGGGGAAUAUUGCACAAUGGGGGAAACGCUGAUGCAGCGACGCCGCGUGAGGGAAGAAGUCACUCGUUACGUAAAGCCCUAUCAGCAGGGAAGAAAAUGACGGUACCUGAGUAAGAAUCACCGUCUAACUACGUGCCAGCUGCCGGGGCAAUACGUAGGGGGCCAGCGUUAUCCGGAUUUACUGGGUGUAAAGGGAGCGUAGACGGUUCGCCAAGUCUGGAGUGAAAUGCCGGAGCUUAACUGCGGAACUGCUUUGGAAACUGGAGAACUAGAGUGCGGGAGGGGUAAGCGGAAUUCGUAGUGGAGCGGUGAAAUGCGUAGAUAUUAGGAGGAACACCGGUGGCGAAGGCGGCAUACUGGAGCGUAACUGACGUUGAGGCUCGAAAGCGUGGGGAGCAAACAGGAUUAGAUACCCGGGUAGUC
rnacentral:rRNA from 1 species